rnacentral:lncRNA from 1 species
UUUUGUUUUGUUUUUUAAUGGAGACAGUCUUGCUCUGUCGCCCAGGCUGGAAUGCAGUGGUGCGAGCUUGGCUCACUGCAACCUCUGCCUCCUGGGUUCAAGCAAUUCUCCUACCUCAGCCUCCCAAGUAGCUGGAACUACAGGCGCACGCCGCCACGCCUGGCUAAUUUUUUGUAUUUUAGUAGAGACGGGGUUUCACCAUGUUGCCCAGGCUGGUCUCGAACUCCUGAGCUCAGGCAAUUCGCCUGCCUCAACCUCCCAAAGUGCUAGGAUUACAGGCGUGAGCCGCCGCACUCGGCUGAGAACUUAACAGUUUUAAGAUAGUUUCUCAGCAUGACCAAUUGGUCAUGCUAAUGCAGGAAUCCUGCUACCCUUUCCUGGGAGUAUAAAGGAAUAGAAAUCAAUAACUUCACCUACUUUAAAUGGUGAGAUGACAAGCAAGUCCCAAUUCGCAGUCUCUUAAGUGAGGAGAUAGCUAUGAAGCCACACUAAACUGUACAGGCCUGUCACUGCAAGGUAGUAGUAUUGUAUCUUUAUUCAAGGCCCACUUGCUACAUUCUCCGAGAUCUUCAAUACACCUUUUACAAUCAACCACAAGAAAUCAUUCUAUGUUAAAAACCCCUUUCCACCAUUUAAGUAAGUCACCCAGGACAAAUCCUUAGAGCUUAGCGCAGACAGUGGGGACUGUGUGAAAGGGUGAUGCUAGACUCAAGACAUGCCACAGGCAAUACCUGCUUAGACAGCCAGGCCUUUCACUAGCUGCUUUGUGCUUCUGGAUGUCUGGGUUGUACUGAACCCAUGCAGUCGGUGUGCUCCAAUUUCCUGGAGUUUUAUAUAAUUUUUUAAACUCCCUCUCUCUCUGUAUGGAUUAUAAUUCCUCAGGAGACUAUUAUGUGACUUGCCAUGAAAUACAGCAGCACACAGAGGCAGCUUUAAAUGUGUGAACAGAUGUUUGAUAAUAUCUUCUGGCUAAUUCUUUUCUUCAGUCUUUGAUUUUUCUGUCUCAGUCAUGAGGCACUUUUACAGGAAGGCUGACCCUAGACAACCCACAUCACCUCCUACCUUCCCACCCUCCACUGGCUUCUGAGCAGUGGGGUCACAGUGGAAAAGAGCAUAGGCUGUGGAAUAUGGAGAUCCGAGAUUCCACCUUUGGCUCUGACAUUUACUAUCUACAGGAUCUUAGGCAAGACAUCAGUGACACCCUUGGAUGAGUGAUUGUUAGGACAUUUCCAACUUUCCGACUCAAUGAGAUGUACAAAGGAGCUCAACAGAAUCCUCAUGCAGCUGCAGACUUUUCUGCUCAUGGAACAGGCAGGAGGAGGCCCCUGCUGAAGGACCCCAGACCCCUUUAGGAAGAACUUUGUCACUAUGUCUACCAGAUGAAAGCAACAGCACAAUAUGUGUUACAGGCUACAGUACGA